GGGGAUAUAGCUCAGUUGGGAGAGCAGCAAACUGAGGUGCUCGUGAGGUUCCAGUGAGUUGUUCUGAAGGUCCCGCGUUCAAUCCGCGGUAUCCCCA